GCUGGGCCCCAUGUGAAACCUACUGAAUCUUUAGAAGUGAGGUUUGGGGGCACCUGGAUGGCUCAGUGGGUUUGGCCUCUGCCUUCGGCUCAGG